UGGGGAAUCUUGCGCAAUGGCCGAAAGGCUGACGCAGCGACGCCGCGUGGGGGAGGAAGGGCUUCGGCUCGUAAACCCCUGUUGCCCGGGGCGAACAUCCCCUUUCGAGGGGACUGACGGUACCGGGUGAGGAAGCACCGGCUAACUCCGUGCCAGCAGCCGCGGUAAUACGGAGGGUGCGAGCGUUGUCCGGAAUCACUGGGCGUAAAGGGCGCGUAGGUGGCCGAGCAAGGUCGCGGUGAAAGCCCGGGGCUCAACCCCGGGUCGGCCGUGGCAACUACUUGGCUUGAGCACUGUAGGGGCGGGUGGAAUUCCGGGUGUAGCGGUGGAAUGCGUAGAGAUCCGGAAGAACACCGGUGGCGAAGGCGGCCCGCUGGGCAGGAAGGCUCGCAAGAGCCGGCUGACACUGAGGCGCGACAGCGUGGGGAGCAAACAGG
rnacentral:rRNA from 1 species